rfam:Pongo abelii chromosome 22, whole genome shotgun sequence.
CCAAAGGCUCUUUUCAGAGCCAUCAUUUUCCUUCCUUCUUCCUACCU